rnacentral:rRNA from 1 species
AACGUAGGACGCAAGCGUUAUCCGGAUUUAUUGGGCGUAAAGAGCGUGUAGGCGGCCAAACAGGUCCGUUGUGAAAACUGGAGGCUCAACUUCCAGACGUCGACGGAAACCGUGUGGCUAGAGUCCGGAAGAGGAGAGUGGAAUUCCUGGUGUAGCGGUGAAAUGCGCAGAUAUCAGGAAGAACACCAAUGGCGAAGGCAGCUCUCUGGGACGGUACUGACGCUGAGACGCGAAAGCGUGGGGAGCGAACAGG